AACGAACGCUGGCGGCAUGCCUAACACAUGCAAGUCGAACGAGACCUUCGGGUCUAGUGGCGCACGGGUGCGUAACGCGUGGGAACCUGCCCUUAGGUUCGGAAUAACUCCCCGAAAGGGGUGCUAAUACCGGAUAAUGUCUUCGGACCAAAGAUUUAUCGCCUUUGGAUGGGCCCGCGUUGGAUUAGCGAGUUGGUAGGGUAAAAGCCUACCAAGGCGACGAUCCAUAGCUGGUCUGAGAGGAUGAUCAGCCACACUGGGACUGAGACACGGCCCAGACUCCUACGGGAGGCAGCAGUAGGGAAUAUUGGACAAUGGGCGAAAGCCUGAUCCAGCAAUGCCGCGUGAGUGAUGAAGGCCUUAGGGUUGUAAAGCUCUUUUACCCGGGAUGAUAAUGACAGUACCGGGAGAAUAAGCUCCGGCUAACUCCGUG
rnacentral:rRNA from 1 species